rnacentral:rRNA from 1 species
CAUGCAAGUCGAGCGAACAGAUGAGGAGCUUGCUCCUCUGACGUUAGCGGCGGACGGGUGAGUAACACGUGGGCAACCUGCCCUUAAGACUGGGAUAACUCCGGGAAACCGGGGCUAAUACCGGAUAAUAGAAAGAAUCUCCUGAUUCUUUUUUGAAAGACGGUUUCGGCUGUCACUUAAGGAUGGGCCCGCGGCGCAUUAGCUAGUUGGUGAGGUAACGGCUCACCAAGGCAACGAUGCGUAGCCGACCUGAGAGGGUGAUCGGCCACACUGGGACUGAGACACGGCCCAGACUCCUACGGGAGGCAGCAGUAGGGAAUCUUCCGCAAUGGACGAAAGUCUGACGGAGCAACGCCGCGUGAGUGAAGAAGGUUUUCGGAUCGUAAAGCUCUGUUGUCAGGGAAGAACAAGUACCAUAGUAACUGAUGGUACCUUGACGGUACCUGACCAGAAAGCCACGGCUAACUACGUGCCAGCAGCCGCGGUAAUACGUAGGUGGCAAGCGUUGUCCGGAAUUAUUGGGCGUAAAGCGCGCGCAGGUGGUUCCAAAAGUCUGAUGUGAAAGCCCCCGGCUCAACCGGGGAGGGUCAUUGGAAACUGGGGAACUUGAGUGCAGGAGAGGAAAGUGGAAUUCCACGUGUAGCGGUGAAAUGCGUAGAUAUGUGGAGG